rnacentral:tRNA from 1 species
GCCCGGCUAGCUCAAUCGGUAGAGCGUCAGACUCUUAAUCUGAAGGUUGUGGGUUCGACCCCCACGUUGGGCG